GACAGAGGGUGCAAACGUUGCUCGGAAUUACUGGGCGUAAAGCGCGUGUAGGUGGAUUGGUGUGUCAGAUGUGAAAGCCCUGGGCUCAACCCAGGAACUGCACCUGAAACUACCAGUCUUGAGUGGUGGAGAGGGAAGUGGAAUUCCUGGUGUAGAGGUGAAAUUCGUAGAUAUCAGGAGGAACACCAGUGGCGAAGGCGGCUUCCUGGACACUAACUGACGCUGAGACGCGAAAGCGUGGGGAGCAAACAGGG
rnacentral:rRNA from 1 species